rnacentral:rRNA from 1 species
UACCUCUGCCCCCUCCGCCCUCUGGGCCCACCUACCGAGCUGGCUACCUUGGUUGAACGUCCAGUAGCGGUUUUAGCAGCCAGUUUUUCUAGGUCUGCGGGCGGUAAUAUAUUACCGGUGGGGUGAGCGGCGAGAAAGGGGUACGGGUAGAGGACAAAGGCGGGGGUUGUUUCGCACAGGGAGGAGCGGAGGAAGGAGGAAGGAGGAGUGGGAGGAGUAGGCCGGCGCUUCGGUUCCCUUUCGUUCGUCUCGUUGGUCUCUACGUCGCUAUCUGCGACAUUUCUCUUAUCUAUGCUGCGCCUGGAGGUAGGUUUUGCUGCUAUU